AGCUUUUCCACUGUAGCUGUUUGUCCUUGUCUCGCCGGCGCAACGCUCGAAGAUUGUUUGGUUUUCCGCCAAAAUGGAGAUAGGGCCAGCGUUUGUUAUUCUAAAUUCCAUGAAAAUAUGUGGAUAUUGAGAAGAGGAAGUUGGAACACUUGGAAAUGGAAUCGAUGAAGAAACUGUUGGCAGCGUCAACAUUCAGGGAGGCCAGAUGGCAAAUUAGCAAGUUAAGACAUUUUGUGUGUAUUUUUUAAAUUUUGUUUAUUGUAGCACAGAUUAGCUAUGCAAUGGGAGGCAUAUAUAUGCAGUUUUUUUUUGAAGAAUCAAGGCCCGAUCUUACCCAAGUUCUCUAUUCGAGAAACUCAACUCAAAAACGAUGAAGACUCUUGAUUGUACAAAAAAGGGUUAUGCUGAAUGUUCGAAUAACACCAUCACCAAUGGAGACCACAUUCUUAUACAACUCCACUGACAAAAGGCUGCUGAAAGAUUUUGGGGGUAUAGAAUUUUGAGUUUAGGGAAGUCAGGACUUGAUUUUUGGUUAUAUUGCUAGAUGUCAUUUUUUUUGUGUAUAACAUCUGUUGAUUGAUAUGGGUUUAGCUAAAGCUUGAAUCUUUUAGAAAAUUUGAUGAUUAAAUGCUGCUGAUUUUCUGUGAAG
rnacentral:lncRNA from 1 species